rnacentral:rRNA from 1 species
UAAACUAGGAGGAAGGUGGGGAGUGACGUCAAAUCAUCAUGCCCCUUAUGACCUGGGGCUACAAACGUGAUACAAUGGCUGAAACAAAGGGCAGCGAAGCAGUGAUGUGGAGCGAAACCCAAAAAAGCAGUCUCAGUUCGGAUUGAAGUCUGCAACUCGACUUCAUGAAGUUGGAAUCGCUAGUAAUCGUAGAUCAGAACGCUACGGUGAAUACGUUCUCGGGGGUUU